UACGUAGGGAGCAAGCGUUGUCCGGAUUUAUUGGGCGUAAAGAGCCUCGUAGGCGGCUUAGCAAGUCAGAUGUGAAAACUCCAGGCUCAACCUGGAGACGCCAUUUGAUACUGCUAUGGCUUGAGUUCGGUAGGGGUAAGCGGAAUUCCUGGUGUAGCGGUGAAAUGCGCAGAUAUCAGGAGGAACACCGAUGGCGAAGGCAGCUUACUGGGCCGAUACUGACGCUGAUGCGCGAAAGCGUGGGUAGCAAACAGG
rnacentral:rRNA from 1 species